rnacentral:rRNA from 1 species
UACGUAGGGUGCGAGCGUUAAUCGGAAUUACUGGGCGUAAAGCGUGCGCAGGCGGUUCGUUGUGUCGGUGGUGAAAUCCUGGAGCUCAACUCCAGAACUGCCUUCGAUACUGAGAGUCUCGAGUCCGAGAGAGGUGAGUGGAACUGCGAGUGUAGAGGUGAAAUUCGUAGAUAUUCGCAAGAACACCAGUGGCGAAGGCGGCUCACUGGCUCGGUACUGACGCUGAGGUGCGAAAGCGUGGGGAGCAAACAGG